UGAGAUGUUGGGUUAAGUCCCGUAACGAGCGCAACCCUUGUCCUUAUUUGCCAGCGGGUCAAGCCGGGAACUCUAGGGAGACUGCCGGUGACAAACCGGAGGAAGGUGGGGAUGACGUCAAGUCAUCAUGGCCCUCACGGGGUGGGCUACAAACGUGCUACAAUGGGCGGCACAGAGGGCUGCGAACCAGCAAUGGCAAGCGAAUCCCAAAAAACCGCUCGUAGUCCGGAUAGGAGUCUGCAACUCGACUCCUUGAAGUCGGAAUCGCUAGUAAUCGCGAAUCAGAAUGUCGCGGUGAAUACGUUCCCGGGCCUUGUACACACCGCCCGUCACGUCAUGGGAGUGGGUUGCACCAGAAGUAGCUAGUCUAACCUUCGGGAGGACGGUUACCACGGUGUGGUUCAUGACUGGGACGAAGUCGUAACAAGGUAGCCGUAGGGGAACCUGCGGCUGGAUCACCUCCUUAAAC
rnacentral:rRNA from 1 species